UCAGUGGUAGCUCAGUGGUAGAGCACUUGCCUAGCAUGUGUGAGGCACUGGGUUUGAUCCCCAGCACUGCA
rnacentral:tRNA from 1 species